rnacentral:SRP_RNA from 12 species
ACCGGAAGGUUGGCAUCUUCUGUAAUCACGCUUCUGUGAGGUUUGAUUGUGGGAUACCCUGAGACCGGGAGUUCUGUGCAGUGGACUUGUUCAUGUUGACGAAACUUCCGUACUAAGCUUGCCAUCAACAUGGGCGCCAAAGAGGAGUCUUUGGCGUUCAGGUUGUUAAGGAGAGAUGUAUCGGGCUAGGGGUGAAAAAAAAAUUGUUUCUUCUUCGAUCAAGUUUCUACAACUGCUACAAUAACUAUAAAACGGAAGGCUCUGUUUCUUUGCGUGGAAUCUU